GACGAACGCUGGCGGCGUGCUUAACACAUGCAAGUCGAACGGAAAGACCCUGCUUUUGUUGGUUUCUCGAUUGGCGAACGGGUGAGUGACACGUGAGUAACCUGCCCUUGACUUUCUGAUAACUUCUGGAAACUGGGGCGAAUACCCGAUAUGAUCUCCUGCUGCAUGUUGGUGGUUGGAAAGUUUCGGCGUUUGGGUCUGGACUCGCUGCUUAUCCGCUUGUUGGUGUGGUAGUGGCUUACCAAGCGUUUCAGGGGUAGCCGGCCUGAGAGGCUGACCGGCAACCUUGGGACUGCGAUACGGACCAGAAUCCUACGGGAGGCAGCAGUGGGGAAUAUUGCAGAAUGGGCGGAAGCGUGAUGCAGCAACGCCGCGUGCGGGAUGACGGGCUUCGGGUUGUAAACAGCUUUCGAAUGUGCCGAAGAGUGAGUGACGGUAAUGGGUAAAGAAGCAACGGCUAACUACGUG
rnacentral:rRNA from 1 species